UACGGAGGAUCCAAGCGUUAUCCGGAUUUAUUGGGUUUAAAGGGUGCGUAGGCGGCCUGUUAAGUCAGGGGUGAAAGACGGUAGCUCAACUAUCGCAGUGCCCUUGAUACUGAUGGGCUUGAAUUGACUAGAGGUAGGCGGAAUGUGACAAGUAGCGGUGAAAUGCAUAGAUAUGUCACAGAACACCGAUUGCGAAGGCA
rnacentral:rRNA from 1 species